rnacentral:lncRNA from 1 species
GAAAUAUCUGUAGAUUUACAGUUAGGAUUUUUAUGAUGAAAAGUAAAUAGAUUAAGUGUCAGGUUGUAAACAACAAAUAUCACAACUCAGUUUGAUUCCUGGCAUUGGAAAAUGCUGCAAGAACCCAAUGGAUACAACACUUUGCAGGAGCCAGCAUAACAGACACAGCAGGGGUGGAGAGGAUGGAAGCAGCAUCUCUGGAUUGGAUGAGUUCCUUGUGAAAUCAUUGGACAGUAUUUCAGGAAAAGGUGAACAGAGCAUCAGCCUGAAGCAAACAGCAUAUUUAACUGUUCUUCAGUCAGCAAAAUUAGGGACUUGGAGUCUGAAAGGAAGAGGCAAUCCUGAAAAGGUACUGAAGAGGUUUCUAAAGAGAAGAGAUGAUAGAAAAUCAUGAAAGAAGGGAAAGAUGACAGCUGGAGGAAGAGUAACAGAGAUGUCUGGAGUCAAAUGCGGGGGAUGCCCAGGGAUUUUAGCCAUUGGCACCUCAAAUGGAUAACUCUGAGCAGAUGAACAGCAGGAACCAAUACAAUUUUCUGCCUGACAAUGGCAGACCAGCAGUGACCUCCCUACAAAUCAAGACCUAUGAGCAUUGUGCUGUGGAAGAGAGCAAGUGAAACAAUUCAUGAAAUCAUAGAAUAUCUCAGGUUGGUAAGGACCCCAUAUAAAUCACCAAGUCCAACUCCCUCCCUUCGUUCAGGACUACCUAAAACAUAUGAAAAGCUUUAAUCUUGUUGAUUUUUAAAUGAAUACCAGCAUUCAGCCUCACUACAAGUUGUGGCUUACUUUGUCUUACCUGUGUGGCACUUUGAAAAUCAGCUACUAGGAAAAUGAUUUUUAUGCUUAG